rnacentral:rRNA from 1 species
GACGAACGCUGGCGGCGUGCCUAAUACAUGCAAGUCGAACGCAGUGGGGACGGGUGAGUAACACGUGGGUAACCUCCCAUCAGAGGGGAUAACACGUGGAAAAAGGUGCUAAACCGAUACUGAUGGAUGAACCCGCGGUGCAUUAGCUAGUUGGUGAGGUAACGGCUCACCAAGGCCACGAUGCCUAGCCGACCUAAGAGGUUGAUCGGCCACACUGUGACUGAGACACGGCCCAGACUCCUACGGGAGGCAGCAGUAGGGAAUCUUGGGCAAUGGACGAAAGUCUGACCGAGCAACGCCGCGUGAGUGAAGAAGGUUUUCGGAUCGUAAAACGCUGUCGUCAGAGAAGCGGUAUCUAACCAGAAAGCCACGGCUAACUACGUGCCAGCAGCCGCGGUAAUAC